rnacentral:miRNA from 1 species
UCAAAGUCAAAAAUCAUCGAC